rnacentral:pre_miRNA from 1 species
AGUGGGAUAGCUGGGUCAAAUAGUUUUGUUUUCCAAGGAAUCUCCAUACUGCUUUCCAUAUUGGCUGCACCAUUUUGCAAUCCCACCAGCAAU